rnacentral:rRNA from 1 species
GACGUAGGGCGCGAGCGUUGUCCGGAUUUAUUGGGCGUAAAGAGCUCGUAGGCGGCUUGUCGCGUCGACUGUGAAAUCCCGCGGCUCAACUGCGGGUCUGCAGUCGAUACGGGCAGGCUAGAGUUCGGUAGGGGAGACUGGAAUUCCUGGUGUAGCGGUGAAAUGCGCAGAUAUCAGGAGGAACACCGGUGGCGAAGGCGGUUCUCUGGGCAUGUCCUGACGCUGAGGAGCGAAAGUGUGGGGAGCGAACAGG